CGUUGGGGGUAGGCGCGCGUAGGCGGUUUCUUAAGUCUGAUGUGAAAGCCCACGGCUCAACCGUGGAGGGUCAUUGGAAACUGGGAAACUUGAGUGCAGAAGAGGAAAGUGGAAUUCCAUGUGUAGCGGUGAAAUGCGCAGAGAUAUGGAGGAACACCAGUGGCGAAGGCGACUUUCUGGUCUGUAACUGACGAUGAUGUGCGA
rnacentral:rRNA from 1 species